CUUAGUGAUUUUAUUUGGAAGACUUAAUGAGAUGAAAUUGGUAAGAAAUAAGUAUAUGAAGUAAAUAGUUGUAUAGGGAUUGCAUAUGAUUAAUUUGGAAAUUAAUUAUGGUCAUUUAGUAUUUUUGAUAAAAUUAUUAAGAUGAAGAUUAUAGGCUGUGAAUAGUAACAGCCUAUAUAACUUAUGAAUAAGGUUAAAUAAUUGGGAUUAAAUCCUUGAUACAAAUCUAGGGAUGCUUAUGAAGUUGAUGAAAAUAAGUAUAUGUUACUAAUAUUUACGAUAUUUACAAUAUAAGGCUUAGAAGCCUGUAACACGGGUCGUGCAGAAAGGAAUGGACCUAGAAGAUAACGAAGGGUAGCAAGGUGAAAUAGGCUUAUGUUCAUAAGCCUGCAAGGUUAGAGUUGAUAUUAUUAUGUCAGUGGUGUUGCGCAGCUUUGCAUCUUUUGCGAGUUACUGGUGGUCAACUUGGUUUAGUAGUCGUGGCAUGUUGUAUAAUAGUGUAAUCUAUAUUCUUCCGCUGGAUAAAUGUUAAGUGUUUAAAUUUAAUA